rnacentral:misc_RNA from 1 species
GAUGAAGAACGCAGCGAAACGCGAUAGGUAAUGUGAAUUGCAGAAUUCCGUGAAUCAUCGAGUCUUUGAACGCACAUUGCGCCCCCUGGUAUUCCGGGGGGCAUGCCUGUCCGAGCGUCAUUGCUGCCCUCAAGCACGGCUUGUGUGUUGGGCCUCCGUCCUCCUCCCGGGGGACGGGCCCGAAAGGCAGCGGCGGCACCGCGUCCGGUCCUCGAGCGUAUGGGGCUUCGUCACCCGCUCUUGUAGGCCCGGCCGGCGCUUGCCGACACAUCAAUCUUUUUUCCAGGUUGACCUCGGAUCAGGUAGGGAUACCCGCUGAACUUAAGCAUAUCAAUAAGCGGAGGA